AGCAGAGAGCUAACUCGGUGAUUUUCAUCUGGAUGAAAUAAGGAAGAAUGAACAGGACCUGUCUAUUACCCAUGCAGGAGCACUGGUGGGACCACAAUCAAAGCUACUUAAGGAAGACAUCACACAGAGCUUUUUGUGAGCAUUUCAUUUAUUGAGAAACUAUACUGAAUACACCAGAGAGGGCAGGAAAGAAGCAAAAUUGUUGCUCAGGAGUACAGGGUAGAGGAAGUGACUUAAGAUUUACCCAAGUCUGAGAGAAAAUAUAGAUCUGAGGGUCUCUAUAGUAGUAGAAACUCAGGUCCUACUACCUCUCAAGGCAAGGACUAGGAGACAGGGCAAGGGACUGCUAAGUGUUAUUUUGGGAAACUGAAUCCUAGGUAUCUAGGGUCCAAUCUGGGGGCCCAAGCAUGCACUAGAGGGAACAGAAAGUGGACUUUAAACUACCUGGAGACAUGGAUAGGGCUAUUUCACUGAAUAUUAGUCAGUCAAUUGUGUACCUACUUUGUGACUGACGAGGAUCCCCUUCUACCAAGUCCUUUGCACAUCCUUUAGUGGACGCAUUAGCUAAGAUGCAGGGGGAAAACCUAAUAAGUCUAAGAUUUAAUUUCCUGCAAAUACAAUGAAUGCUCAGACUCUCAUUAAAUCUAAAUGGAAGUCUAUAAAUUAAUGCAACAUAUCUGGCAUACUCAAUCUGUACAUGUAUUUUCAUUACUAUUAUAACUUAAAAUUUCUCAGUCAAUACUUUGGGUCUGAUGUAAAUUUUUCUCCAAGAACAUGAGUAUACUAGGUUGAAAAUUCAUGGCAUUACUUUGAGUUUUCUGCUUUAGCAGCAAUUAACUGCUUAAUCUAUUUAUUAGGUAGCUGUCACCUUGGAAACCAAGGAACAGAGCCCUGAGGGGUGGGUCAAGCAGAUCUAUAGACUUAAAUAACAAUUCCAAAAUAAAUAUAUAAAUCAGAACUUAAAAAGUAAACCA
rnacentral:lncRNA from 1 species